GAUGAACGCUGGCGGCGUGCCUAAUACAUGCAAGUCGAGCGAACAGACGAGGAGCUUGCUCCUCUGACGUUAUCGGCGGACGGGUGAGUAACACGUGGAUAACCUACCUAUAAGACUGGGAUAACUUCGGGAAACCGGAGCUAAUACCGGAUAAUAUAUUGAACCGCAUGGUUCAAUAGUGAAAGACGGUUUUGCUGUCACUUAUAGAUUGAUCCGCGCCGCAUUAGCUAGUUGGUAAGGUAACGGCUUACCAAGGCAACGAUGCGUAGCCGACCUGAGAGGGUGAUCGGCCACACUGGAACUGAGACACGGUCCAGACACCUACGGGAGGCAGCAGUAGGGAAUCUUACGCAAUGGGCGAAAGCCUGACGGAGCAACGCCGCGUGAGUGAUGAAGGUCUUCGGAUCGUAAAACGCUGUUAUUAGGGAAGAACAAAUGUGUAAGUAACUAUGCACGUCUUGACGGUACCUAAUCAGAAAGCCACGGCUAACUACGUG
rnacentral:rRNA from 1 species